UCCUUUUCAGUCGCGCUUCAAGAGCAACUAGUACCUUGAGCGUGUUGGUGUUCCUGUGUUGGAUGCAUGCCUAACGUGACGGAAAUUGGCCCCGGAUGAGUCCUAAUCUUCGACUCUCACCAAUUGGUGGUGUUUUAGGUUGAGGUGGAAGUACUGCCCAUUCUCCUUGAAUGCUUUGACCUUGUGGCGUUGCAAUCAUGGCCCAUGGGUUGCUACUAGUUCCCUCGGAUGCAGAACUUUUCGAUGGGUGGUGCACAGUAAGUUGGCCACAAAGCGUUCAUCGGUCGGUGCGUACGACAGCUGUGCCCGUCUUGNUCCCCUCUCUAACUAGUUUAGAUGGGUCUCAUGCGGUGCCGGCGUCGCGAAGGAAUGCUACCUGGUUGAUCCUGCCAGUAGUCAUAUGCUUGUCUCAA
rnacentral:misc_RNA from 1 species